CGGCAUUAGUUUGUAUGAGGCAAACUAUUCUCUAUCAUAUUAGUCGGCCCGAAUCAGUUUAUAUUUGCUAAAAUUUGUAUGAAAUUUUUUUCUUGGCAUAAUUUUUUCUACUUAAAGUACGUUGUCAUGACCCUAAUUUGAAUUAUUUUCUAUAGACGUUCAGAUAUUCUCAAAAAAACUUGUCAUUAUAAUAUAAAAUUAUCUCAAAACAUAUUUUUUAUGACGUUUUUUCACCACUUGCAGGCAAUGGUGAUUUUCACUUACAUAGAGUACUAAUUUGAUUAAGGAAAAAUCAUGUUCAUUCAUAAUUUUCAUUUUAAAAGUGUAUUGAUUCCUUCUGCAAAUCCAUACUGUCAUGCCUAUUACCCAAUAUCGUCAACGCGGAUAGUUCGUUAGUCGAAAAUACUGAAUAAUUAAACAAACCAAAUGGCAUCACUGGUGGUUCUUUUUUCCACUCCGCUAAACUGUCAUCUCAAACAAAAACAAAUGGAUCAUACAACUGCUAUGAAUACAUUCGACUCGUUUGCUUCCAUCAAUCGCAGUAACCUAUAACCCCUGUUGGCAAUGCCGGGGGACAGCAUCAACAGCAGCAGCAGCAGAAUUUGACCAUGGUAUGGUAUUGCGAAGAACUUUCCCCAUUAGAGGUUCCGUGCUUCGCGCACAUUCAAAAUCCUCUUCAGACACGAAAACUCAACGACAAGGAGGUAUUUAUCAACUUGCUCAGCUGAAUUACCACCCGGAGGAACCCGAAUGCACUGAUUCCGUUGUAUAGUAGAAUGAAAAUAGGCGAGGUAAGCGAACGUAAUCGCAUGAUAUUUUAAUAGUUCGCAUUUUUAUCCGGAUCAUACAACUGCUAUGAAUACAUCCGACUCAAUCAAUCGGCGAGUGAGAAAGAUGAUUUCCCUCAUCACCACAUUGCUUAUUUCCACUUCUGUCACGCCAGCCAACAGCAUCAGCUUUCCCGCAGCAGUAUCCUUUAAGUCCAGGGUGCUAUUCCGGGGAACAGCAUCAUCAGUAACAGCAGCAGGACCUGGCCAUCGAUAGUAUUUCGAGCAAUUUUCCCCAUCGGAGAUCCCGUGCUUCACGCACAUUGAAGAAACCUCCUCAGCCACAUAUGUGUGUCAAGGAGAAAAAGGAGCUGGAUUCGAAUCGUCAAUCCAGACAACCCGAAUGCACCGAUUGCAUUAUAUAUCUUGUUUAUAUUUUAUAUGCAUUUUGUGUUUUUUUGAAUAAAAUGAUUAAAAUCGA